AUGAUGCACAGAUUCCUAGCCCCGCCCACCGCGACUCCAGACCUCUGAGUGAGGCCGCAGGAAGGAUGUGUUUGUGGGUUCGGGGAACAAAUGACACAAGUUACACGGACUGCACCCAAUUCCCCCCCUAUUUAGGAACACGUGAUCUCGGCACCCUCUCACUGCUGGGGAGCAAGAGGAAUUUAUUUUCCCUGGUCAUUGUAGUUACACCAACACAUGAACCUUGUCUGCAAACUGAGUGAAAGUUAUUCAGUGUUUUUAUAUUAGAAUGAAAUGGCCCGUGAAUAUUAGCCACUGUUUGCCUCAAAAUAGUUGUGCAGCCAGGGUUAGAGGACAUGGGAUGAAACAAAAGUUGGUACCGACUUGUUAGGCUGUUAUUGGUGGGUUUGCUACUGACUGCUGCUACUCACCAUUUACCCAGGGUGGGGCGCUGCGUCUAUAUUCCUACAUAUCACUGCGCCACUAAUGUUUGUCCUUCCACUAGGUAUCCCUAGGCAGAGAAACCAAUGGCAGAGCAAGAAGAGGUGCAUUGGUCUGGGGUACAAGGCCACGGUGACGCAAGGGUUAAUUGCCUCUGAUUAUCAAAUGAUUCAACAGGAUAAUAAACUCACUUGGGAUUAUGACUUACACUGGGGUCACCAGCGAAACAGUUAAACCGUUUUUGCAGCAUUUAACACCCUGGGGAUCCUGCUCAGUAAACAUACAGAAAAGAAAAUGUUGAAAUUCACAUCUGGAACAUGUUCCACAAGUUGGUACUGUGAUGGAUCAUUGGAGAUCACUCGAGUACUUACUCCUGAAUCCUACUGCUGAGAAAGAUAAGCGCUGUUGGCUGACAGCAGGCAUUCAAGCAAAACAGCUGUGCGAAAAACUACUCUUGUCAAAAAUGGCGUGAAAAAUGUUA